GUGAGGAAUUUUCCGCAAUGGGCGAAAGCCUGACGGAGCAAUGCCGCGUGAAGGAUGAAGGCCUAUGGGUUGUAAACUUCGUUUCUCAGAAAAGAAUUAUGACGGUAUCUGAGGAAUAAGCAUCGGCUAACUCUGUGCCAGCAGCCGCGGUAAGACAGAGGAUGCAAGCGUUAUCCGGAAUGAUUGGGCGUAAAGCGUCUGUAGGUUGUUUAAAAAGUAUUCUGUCAAAGAUUAGGGCUUAACCCUAGAUAGGCAGAAUAAACUUUUAAGCUAGAGUUUGGUAGAGGCAGGGGGAAUGCCCGGUGGAGCGGUGAAAUGCGUAGAUAUCGGGAGGAACACCAAAGGCGUAGGCACUCUGCUGGGCCAAUACUAACACUGAGAGACGAAAGCGAGGGGAGCAAAUGGGAUUAGAUACCCGGGUAGUCC
rnacentral:rRNA from 1 species